rnacentral:rRNA from 1 species
AGGUAGCAUAAUCACUUGUCUUUUAAAUAGGGACUAGUAUGAAUGGCAUCACGAGGGUUUAACUGUCUCUUAUUCCCAAUCAGUGAAAUUGACCUUCCCGUGCAGAGGCGGGAAUAAUAAUACAAGACGAGAAGACCCUGUGGAGCUUAAGACCAGCAACUUAACGCAUACCACUACCUACCCUACUGGAACAAAAAUGUAUAAUGCCCUGAGUUGCAGUCUUUGGUUGGGGUGACCUCGGAGCAUAAAACAACCUCCGAAUGAAAUAACCUAGAUAAACCCAUCUAAGUGUACUACUACCAGUAAUUGACCCAUUUUUUGAUCAACGGAACAAGUUACCCCAGGGAUAACAGCGCAAUCCUAUUUGAGAGCCCAUAUCGAAAAUUAGGGUUUACGACCUCGAUGUUGGAUCAGGACAUCCAAAUGGUGCAGCCGCUAUUAAUGGUUCGUUUGUUCAACGAUUAAAGUCCUACGUGAUCUGAGUUCAGACCGGAGAAAUCCAGGUCGGUUUCUAUCUGUACGUGAUUUCUCCCAGUACGAAAGGACAAGAGAAAUGGGGCCAACAUACCCAAUGAGCCCUAGAAUUAACAUAUGAAUUCAUCUAAAUAUUUUACUUCAACCCAUUUUACCCCAAGAACAGGGCU